rnacentral:rRNA from 1 species
GGGAAAUCUUACCGGGUCCGGACACACUGAGGAUUGCAGACAGAUAUUCAUGCCGACUGAAUUUCGACAUAUUUCAAAUGUGCGAGUUCUUUCAUGAUUGUGUGAUAGGUGGUGCAUGGCCGUUCUUAGUUCGUGGAGUGAUCUGUCUGCUUAAUUGCGUUUCAUAUUUACGAAUGUCGCUUACGUGAUUGCUGCAGACCUCGCGU